UGUGCAGGGGGUGCGUGAGGUGUGCGUGAGGUGUGCGUGAGGUGUGCGUGAGCCGUGCGCCAGCCCCCCCCCUCCCUCUACACGUUGAUCUUAUUCGAUCGGCCAGGCCGGGCCCGGCCGAGGUGAGAAGAGCAGCGGCGCCGCGAAGCCCGCGGGCGCUGUGCGGCGGCCGGCGGCGGGCGGGAUGAGUCGAUCAGAUAGGCGAGGCCGCGGCCGCUGAGCGCCCUGCGAUUCUGACCCG